UGUUUUGGGAAGCUUUGGUCUGUUUUUGU
rnacentral:piRNA from 1 species